rnacentral:rRNA from 1 species
GGGUCAGUAGGUUGGUCGUGCCACCGGUACGUACUGGUCUCACUGAUUCCUCCUUCCUGAAGAACCGUAAUGCCAUUAAUUUGGUGUUGCGGGGAAACAGGACUGUUACCUUGAAAAAAUUAGAGUGUUUAAAGCAAGCUAACGCUUGAAUACAUUAGCAUGGAAUAAUGAAAUAGGACGAUCGAUCCUAUUUUGUUGGUUUCCAGGAUUGACGUA